rfam:Picea glauca, whole genome shotgun sequence.
ACAUGCCUACAACAUAGAGUUAAUGCAUUGGAUCCCAUUAGAACUCCAAAGUUAAGCACACUCGUUCUAGAGUAGUACGGGGAUGGGUGACCAUUUGGGAAGUACUAGUAUUUUACAUGCC